rnacentral:tRNA from 1 species
UCUCUGGUAGCUCAGCUGGUAAAGAAUCUGCCUGCAAUGCAGGAGACCUGAGUUCAACCCUUGGCUUGGGAA